rnacentral:lncRNA from 1 species
AACCUCUACAAAUUUUACGUAUUCUUUUGUGUUUUUAUUUUCUUAAUGCUCUUGGUGAGAAUAAGAGUUUUUAGUUCUCAAUAGAGCCUGUAAACCAAAUAAUCCAUCCACGACAAAAUCCACAAAACAUAAUACUUUAUUGAUGAUUGACGCCCCAAAAUUCAAACUAUCAAAAACACACAAAAACUCAAUCAUGAUAUGAAGCAACAACCCCACCAAAAGUCCACAGUCCCAAAACACCAAUAAGCUCUACCAUCUCAACAAGGGUAGAAACAAACUACGGCUGCAACAGCAGGCUACCAGUGGUUCCAGAACCAACACAACCAGCAAAAUCUGAAGAAAAGGCCUAAAAUCAGCCACACCUGCUAUUAAUCUGAACCGCAGUCACCGGCCAAAGGGAAAACCCAAAACGUGGAUAUACCAGUGAUAGACAAGGCAAACGGCACAAGAAAAAAAGAAAGAAAAUAUAGAAAUCAAAGAUAAAAAGGUGAAAAAAAAAGCGACCAAGAAGAGGCCGGACGAGCAGCACAAGGCCACUCAUGAAAAACAUAAUCAAAGACUACAUUAAGCCCAUGUUUAAUGGUCAUUAUAAAGAGAAAUCGGAGGAAAACAAUAUUUUUAGUAGUGAUUUUUUAAGAAAUGCGUAGUUAAAAAGUAAGUAAAAGUUUUAAGUUUACUUAAAAAAUAUUUUAUUGUGUGAAUGUGAGAAAUAAAGAGUUUUAAAAUAAAGUGAGUUAAACAAGGGCUAAUUCGAAAAAGGAUUCAUCUGCUUGAUAUCAUGUUAAACAAGAAAGUUUUAUUCAAUAUCUCAAAAAGAUUUAAAAGUUACUAUAAAUAGUGUAAAACCUCAGACCGUAGCUCUGGGAAAGGAAGAUAUGAGACUACCAUUAAUAGAUAAACAUAAAUAACAAUGAUUAAUCUAACCAAU